rnacentral:rRNA from 1 species
UACGUAGGGGCGUAGCGUUAUCCGGAAUUACUGGGCGUAAAGGAUGCGUAGGUGGUUUCUUAAGUCAGAGGUGAAAGGCUACGGCUCAACCGUAGUAAGCCUUUGAAACUGAGAAACUUGAGUGCAGGAGAGGAGAGUAGAAUUCCUAGUGUAGCGGUGAAAUGCGUAGAUAUUAGGAGGAAUACCAGUUGCGAAGGCGGCUCUCUGGACUGUAACUGACACUGAGGCACGAAAGCGUGGGGAGGCAAACAGGAUUAGAUACCCUGGUAGUCCCU